rnacentral:rRNA from 1 species
UACGUAGAAGACUAGUGUUAUUCAUCUUUAAUAGGUUUAAAGGGUACCUAGACGGUAUAAUUAGUCUUUAACAGGAAACGGUUAUACUAGAGUUAUAUAUGAGGAGGUGAGUAUUUGUGGAGUAGAGUUGAAAUUCUUUGAUACCAUGAAGACUGGUAAAGGCGAAAGCAACCUUUUAUCUAAUAACUGACGUUGAGGACGAAGGCUCGGGUCGCGAACAGG